UNGCUCAUCGGGCCUAUUUGUAGGAUG
rnacentral:piRNA from 1 species